AGCAGCCGCGGUAAUUCCAGCUCCAAUAGCGUAUAUUAAAGUUGUUGCAGUUAAAAAGCUCGUAGUUGAAUUUCGGGAUUAGUGCGCUGGUCAUGCCUUUGGUAUGUACUGGUGUUACUGGUUCCUACCUUCUGAAGAACCGUUAUGUCAUUCAUUUGGUGUGGCGGGGAAUCAGGACUGUUACUUUGAAAAAAUUAGAGUGUUUAAAGCAGGCUCGCGCUUGAAUACAUUAGCAUGGAAUAAUGAAAUAGGACGUUUGACCCUAUUUUGUUGGUUUCUAGGAUCGACGUAAUGAUUAAUAGGGAUAGUUGGGGGCAUUAGUAUUCAAUUGUCAGAGGUGAAAUUCUUGGAUUUAUUGAAGACUAACUACUGCGAAAGCAUUUGCCAAGGAUGUUUUCAUUAAUCAAGAACGAAAGUUAGGGGAUCGAAGACGAUCAGAUACCGUCGUAGUCUUAACCAUAAACUAUGCCGACUAGGGAUCGGAUGAUGUUAUUUUAAUGACUCAUUCGGCGCCUUAAC
rnacentral:rRNA from 1 species